CUUUCGUAGGUGAACCCGCGGAAGGAUCAUUAUUGUGUAACCGAGGUGCGAGGGCUGUCGCUGACCCGAAAGGUCGUGCACGCCCGAGUGCCCUCACACACAUCCAUCUCACCCCUAUGUGCACCACCGCGUGGGUCCCCCUUUGGCUUGUUCGGAGGGGGGCUUACGUUUUCACACAAACUUUGUAUGCAGUGUAGAAUGUAUUUUUUGUUUUUGCGAUCACGCAAUCAAUACAACUUUCAACAACGGAUCUCUUGGCUCUC
rnacentral:misc_RNA from 1 species